rnacentral:piRNA from 1 species
UAUUCAUGAUUGAACGCAUGCCUGGUGUUU